ACCCAAUCAAAGUGGCGUAUGUUCGAGAUUUAAUCACGCCACUUCGCCGCCCGCGUUUUAAUCUCCUGCUAAAAACAGUAUAAAUACGGAUUCGAGAUCUCUGUUCAGACAUAACACAUCUUUUUGUGCAAUUUUAUUCUUUGGUGAGUACUCACAACUUUUAUAAUAUAUUUUACGAGAACGAAAACAAUUUAGUUUCUAUUCGGUCAAUUUUAUUAUUAUAUUUUUUUAUUCCUGUUUGUAGUCUUCACUUCGUUUCACGAAAACAAAACCAAAUAUCAAAAAUGGGCGCUGAAAAGGUAACCAUGAACAUCGUUGUCGUCGGACAAGUCCAACCUGCCAAGGCCAUCAAAACCGUCGCUAAGGCCGCCCCAGCCACAAGCCAACUUAUGGUGAGUGUAAU
rnacentral:lncRNA from 1 species